GGACUACUAGGGUAUCUAAUCCCGUUCGCUCCCCUAGCUUUCGCGCAUCAGCGUCAGAAGAGGUCCAGCACGUCGCUUUCGCCACCGGCGUUCCUUCCGAUAUCAACGCAUUUCACCGCUCCACCGGAAGUUCCACGUGCCCCUACCUCCCUCCAGUCGGCCAGUAUCAAAGGCAAUUUUCCGGUUGAGCCGAAAGAUUUCGCCCCUGACUUGGCCACCCGCCUACGCGCCCUUUAAGCCCAGUGAAUCCGAACAACGUUUGCACGGUUCGUCUUACCGCGGCUGCUGGCAC
rnacentral:rRNA from 3 species